UACGGGAGGCAGCAGUGGGGAAUAUUGCACAAUGGGCGCAAGCCUGAUGCAGCCAUGCCGCGUGUAUGAAGAAGGCCUUCGGGUUGUAAAGUACUUUCAGUCGUGAGGAAGGUGUUAAGGUUAAUAACCUUAGCAAUUGACGUUAGCGACAGAAGAAGCACCGGCUAACUCCGUGCCAGCAGCCGCGGUAAUACGGAGGGUGCGAGCGUUAAUCGGAAUUACUGGGCGUAAAGGGCACGCAGGCGGUUAAUUAAGUUGGAUGUGAAAUCCCCGGGCUUAACCUGGGAAUGGCAUUCAAGACUGGUUAGCUAGAGUCUUGUAGAGGGGGUAGAAUUCCAUGUGUAGCGGUGAAAUGCGUAGAGAUGUGGAGGAUACCGGUGGCGAAGGCGGCCCCUGGACAAAGACUGACGCUCAUGUGCGAAAGCGUGGGGAGCGAAACAGGGAUUAGAU
rnacentral:rRNA from 1 species